GACGAACCGUGCGAACGUUGUUCGGAAUCACUGGGCUUAAAGGGCGCGUAGGCGGGCCGGCCAGUCGGGAGGUGAAAGCCCCCAGCUUAACUGGGGAAGUGCCCCCGAUCUGCCGGCCUGGAGGGGGUAGGGGCGUGCGGACUUCCGGUGGAGCGGUGAAUGACGUAGAUAUCGGAAGGAACACCGGUGGCGAAGGCGGCACGCUGGGCC
rnacentral:rRNA from 1 species